rnacentral:rRNA from 1 species
AACGAACGCUGGCGGCAGACCUAACACAUGCAAGUCGAGCGAGGACUUCGGUUCUAGCGGCGGACGGGUGAGUAACGCGUGGGAAUGUGCCCUUCUCUACGGAAUAGCCCUGGGAAACUGGGAGUAAUACCGUAUACGCCCUAUUGGGGAAAGAUUUAUCGGAGAAGGAUCAGCCCGCGUUGGAUUAGGUAGUUGGUGGGGUAAUGGCCUACCAAGCCGACGAUCCAUAGCUGGUUUGAGAGGAUGAUCAGCCACACUGGGACUGAGACACGGCCCAGACUCCUACGGGAGGCAGCAGUGGGGAAUCUUAGACAAUGGGGGCAACCCUGAUCUAGCCAUGCCGCGUGAGUGAUGAAGGCCUUAGGGUUGUAAAGCUCUUUCAGCUGGGAAGAUAAUGACGGUACCAGCAGAAGAAGCCCCGGCUAACUCCGUG